rnacentral:rRNA from 1 species
GAUGAACGCUAGCGGCAGGCUUAACACAUGCAAGUCGAGGGGUAUAGUUCUUCGGAGCUAGAGACCGGCGCACGGGUGCGUAACGCGUAUGCAAUCUACCUUUUGCAGAGGGAUAGCCCAGAGAAAUUUGGAUUAAUACCUCAUAGUAUGUGAGAAUGGCAUCAUUUUCACAUUAAAGUCACAACGGCAAAAGAUGAGCAUGCGUCCCAUUAGCUUGUUGGUAAGGUAACGGCUUACCAAGGCAACGAUGGGUAGGGGUCCUGAGAGGGAGGUGCCCCACACUGGGACUGAGACACGGACCAGACUCCUACGGGAGGAAGCAGUGAGGAAUAUUGGACAAUGGGCGCAAGCCUAAUCCAGCCAUGCCGCGUGCAGGAUGACGGUCCUAUGGAUUGUAAACUGCUUUUGUACAGGAAGAAACACUGGUUCGUGAACCAGCUUGACGGUACUGUAAGAAUAAGGAUCGGCUAACUCCGUGCCAGCCGCCGCCGUAAAAC